rnacentral:rRNA from 1 species
AAGGAGAAGUCGUAACAAGGUUUCCGUAGGUGAACCUGCGGUCGAACCCUGCAAGGCAGAACGACCUGUGAACACGUAAAUACAAUUGGGUGCGGGGUGCUGUGCUUGCCCGGUGCUCGCACUAGGUGGGCUAACGAAUCCCGGCGCGGCAAGCGCCAAGGAAAACAAAAAUAGAAUCGUUGCCCCUUUGGCUCCCGUCCGCGGUGUGGCCAUGGGGAUGCAGCGUAUCUUGAAAGUCUAAACGACUCUCGGCAACGGAUAUCUCGGCUCUCGCAUCGAUGAAGAACGUAGCGAAAUGCGAUACUUGGUGUGAAUUGCAGAAUCCCGUGAACCAUCGAGUCUUUGAACGCAAGUUGCGCCCGACGCCUUCGGGCUGAGGGCACGCCUGCCUGGGCGUCACGCAUCGCGUCGUCCCCUCCCAUUCCCUCACGGGUUUGGUUAUGGGACGGAUAAUGGCUUCCCGUUAGCUCGGUUAGCCCAAAAAGGAUCCCUCAUCGACGGAUGUCACAACCAGUGGUGGUUGAAAGAUCAUUGGUGCUGUUGUGCUUCACCCUGUCGCUUGCUAGGGCAUCGUCAUAAACUAACGGCGUGUAAUGCGCCUUCGACCGCGACCCCAGGUCAGACGGGACUACCCGCUGAG